rnacentral:tRNA from 1 species
GAGGGUAUAGCUUGGUGGUAGAGUGUGUGCUUAGCAUGCACAAGGUCAUGGGUUCAAUCCCCAGUAAUUCUG